rnacentral:rRNA from 1 species
GUGGGGAAUCUUCCGCAAUGGACGAAAGUCUGACGGAGCGACGCCGCGUGAGUGAAGAAGGCCUUCGGGUCGUAAAGCUCUGUCAUCAGGGACGAACGGCCGGUGGAGUGGAAAGCCACCGGAUUGACGGUACCUGAGAAGGAAGCCACGGCUAACUACGUGCCAGCAGCCGCGGUAAUACGUAGGUGGCAAGCGUUGUCCGGAAUUAUUGGGCGUAAAGCGCGCGCAGGUGGGAUCUUAAGUCCAUUUUUAAAGUUCGGAGCUCAACUCCGUGAUGGGAUGGAAACUGGGAUUCUUGAGUACCGGAGAGGAAAGCGGAAUUCCCCGUGUAGCGGUGAAAUGCGUAGAUAUGGGGAGGAACACCAGUGGCGAAGGCGGCUUUCUGGACGGUGUCUGACACUGAGGCGCGAAAGCCAGGGGAGCGAACGGGAUUAGAUACCCUGGUAGUCC